rnacentral:lncRNA from 10 species
ACUUCUCUUUCCUGCUGCCAUGUGAAGAAGGAUGUAUUUGCUUCUCCUUCUGCCAUGAUCGCAAAGACACUUUCAGAAGAGGAACGAAGGCCUGGAAGGAAAAGCAUCAGGGGAACGACGCUUACGUCUCUCCUCCUCCCUCCGGUCUCCCACCAGUGCUCCCAUUGGCUGAAGCCAACCAGAAGCCACAGGGUAAGGGAUCCCAGGCCAUAGGGCACCCCCAGGUCAGCCAUCCAGGGUUCGGAGCAAGCUGAAGGGAAGAUGGUAGGUGGAGAGGGGCAAAUGGAGAACAGUCAAGUCUAGGCAGAUGGCACUGUGCAUGUAAAACCCAGCUAGGAGAGCCACCAGGGGGCUGGUGAGCAGCCAGAACCCAGCUCUUCAAAUCUUCAGGCCAGUGUCCUCACCUGUAAAACAAGGAUUUGAACCCAAAGAACACCAAGAUCCCCUCUCAUACUAGGAUUCCAGCUGAUCACCCCGGCCUGGGCCUGGGCUCUGCUCUUUGCCCCUGCUCCCCCCAGCAGAGAAGUAGUCCAGCAAG